rnacentral:tRNA from 1 species
CAGAACAUAACUUAAAAAAGUACUUCGCUUACACCGAAGACAUGUCUGUGUCACCCAGACUGCUCUGCG